GAACUGAGUGCAGAGGAGAGUGGAAUGCCACGUGUACGGUAAAGCGUAGAGAUGUGGAGGAACACCAGUGGCGAAGGCGACUCUCUGGUCUGUAAUGACGCUGAGGAGCGAAACGUGGGGAGCGAACAGGAUUAGAUACCCUGGUAGCCACGCCGUAAACGAUGAGUGCUAAGUGUUAGGGGGUU
rnacentral:rRNA from 1 species